AGCGAACGCUGGCGGCAGGCCUAACACAUGCAAGUCGAACGCCCCUUCGGGGGAGUGGCGGACGGGUGAGUAACACGUGGGAACGUACCUUUUGGUUCGGAACAACUGAGGGAAACUUCAGCUAAUACCGGAUAAGCCCUUUUGGGGAAAGAUUUAUCGCCGAAAGAUCGGCCAGCGUUGGAUUAGGUAGUUGGUGGGGUAAAGGCCUACCAAGCCUACGAUCCAUAGCUGGUCUGAGAGGAUGAUCAGCCACACUGGGACUGAGACACGGCCCAGACUCCUACGGGAGGCAGCAGUGGGGAAUCUUGCGCAAUGGUCGAAAGACUGACGCAGCCAUGCCGCGUGAAUGAUGAAGGUCUUAGGAUUGUAAAAUUCUUUUACCGGUGACGGUAAUGACGGUAACCGGAGAAAAAGCCCCGGCUAACUUCGUGCCAGCAGCCGCCGUAA
rnacentral:rRNA from 1 species